CCUACGGGAGGCAGCAGUGGGGAAUAUUUCACAAUGGGCGAAAGCCUGACGCAGCGACGCCGCGUGAGGGAUGAAGGUCUUCGGAUCGUAAACCUCUGUCAGCAGGGAAGAACGGUCACUGUGCUAAUCAGCAGUGAAUUGACGGUACCUUCAAAGGAAGCACCGGCUAACUCCGUGCCAGCAGCCGCGGUAAUACGGAGGGUGCGAGCGUUAAUCGGAAUUACUGGGCGUAAAGCGCUCGUAGGCGGUAUGUCAAGUCAAGUGUGAAAUCCCCGGGCUCAACGUGGGAACUGCCUUUGAAACUGGUAAAGUGGAGGGUGUGAGAGGAUAGUGGAAUUCCAGGUGUAGGGGUGAAAUCCGGAGAUAUGUGGAGGAACAUCAGUGGCGAAGGCGACUAUCUGGAACAUAACUGACGCUGAGGGGCGAAAGCGUGGGUAGCAAACAGGAUUAGAUACCCCUGUAGUC
rnacentral:rRNA from 1 species